UGAGCUCAGUAUUUCCUGAGCGGCUCCAGCCACACAGGCGCCUCCUAGGCCAAGAGGUCUACUUGUGAGUAAGCAGGGCUUGAUAUUCCUUCACUGCCUGCAGCUGCGGUUUCAGAAGCCAGCACAUAGAAGGCCUCCCCCUAGAGCAAUGCGAUUCCUACGCCUCAGGGCCCUUGGGCCUGGUUCCCGAGUACAAGCCUCCGGCCUGCCUUGCUUGUUGUGCCCUUCGCCUGUGCCACGGACCUUGGACUGCUGCCUUACUCCGCUCCUGGGUCGUGUUUGGGCCUAGGCUGAGUCUCUGGCUGGUUUGGGCACCCGCAGCCCCGCUAUCUUUGCUGAGCAGUUUAGGGAAGGCUUUCGUCUUCGCCUCACUGGGGCCCCUGACAUGACAGCACCCUCCAGUGCCCAUGAAAAGAAGCUGCAUGAUCCAAGUCCCAAGUUCUCAACAGGAUUGCAAGCAGAAGGCCGCGGGUUCAAUGCCCAGCAUCUCCAGAACGCAUCUGCUGCAGUUGCUGCCGCUGCCAGUGAUUCUUAGUGAACAGCCGUGCUCAGGAACACACAGCCAUCAUCUUCCAGAAAAUCAGGUCAUUGAGCCAUCAUACUGAUGAAAAAGAGUGAGUUGCAAACUGUUCGAUAUAUUCUGAUGCAGUAAUGAGGAAGUAGGUCGGAAAGAUUGUGGUCACCUUGGGGAAGAUGCACAAUUUGCCCCCCCCACCCCACCCCCCAAUAUAUCCCCAAGGGGCUAGAUCCCAGACUCUAGCACAACUUGAAACAGGAGAUCUGCUGUUACCCUCAAGGCCUGGCUUACCUUCUGCUAAAGUCUCAGCCUCAAAGUUGUAACUGAUUGAUAAAUUACAAAGUUAAUCUUCAGGUCUCUGUGCCCCUUUUCCACUAAAGGAAGCACUGUGUGGUGAACAUUUUGACAAGUCCAAGGCACUAAUCCUGCCAGAGUUCUGAAUGGGUUCAGCUAUUGAGCACAUAGCCUGCAUGCUUUUGAGUGCUUUAUUGAUUGAAAACUUUAUAACAGAAGUAUACAAUAGAUAUUAUAGGCAAAAUGAGAAAUAAAAAUAAACAAUUAUUCGUUCUUUAACUAAUGCUUGCUUUGCACAUCCAUUUGUUAUUAAAUUUUUCAAGACCUCCGAUCUUUCCUUUGCAUUCCCGAUUUAAAUUCCUUAAACACAUGCUUAAACUUUACUUUCUCCAUAUUUUUUGACUUACUAUAAAUUUUGUUUUGUACCAUUAUCCUAUGGGGAUAUCCUAUGGGGAUUUCAUUUCCUAUAAUUCCUAGC